UGGCGGAUUAACCAUUCAAUGUCGAGUUAAUGGUGCCUCACUUUGCACAUGAUCUGUUGCUUGCACUUGGAAAUACUAAUAAAAAUCAGCCCAGGGAUCUACUAUUUGUAGUGACCGCUCACAAUAUUUUUGUUCCAGAAAGUCCUCUAUUUCCAGUGCCAGCUAACCAACUCGUCCUUUUCCAUGAGCUACAGCCGAGUUUGCGCUUCUUCCAGUGAUUAUAUCUCCUCGUGCUCUAAAAAAGGCAAACUCUGUGAAUACUGGGUUUGGUUCCUCCUCAUGUUCCAUGUCUAUUGCAAGCACUGCUAUUUUGUACCUAUUUACAUGAUGGAAUUGUGGUGAAUUGUUUGCUUGUGACACAGUUACCAAUUGAGAUGUAAUAUGGGUAAAAAAAUACCUUGGUCAUGGUUCUGGAUUGGAACAUGUAGGACAUUUCAAUGCACCAUUUUCAGCUUCUUCCAGCAAACUUUGCAUCCCAUAUAUCACCAGUCAUAGGUCAAUUUACCACAGCGAUUUCAAUCGUGAGUUUGUAGUAUCAGUUCUGUAGAAGGGUCAAAACAUAUGUUGAGGUUAAUACUUAAAAGCAUGCAUAGGUGCAACAAUGGUAAUAAGUACUUCUGUUAAUACCAUGGUGUCAGUAGGUUCUAAACUGGUCAUGUUUUUAUUAGUUGUUUCAGUUGGUUCCUGUCACCCUGCCCUGCAUUUCGUAACUCGAUUUGAUGAGGCAUACCCCUAACCUUGUGCAAUUGUAAUAUACGGCAAUCGGUUAAUGGAUGUGGCAGAAUGAAAAUAGAUGCCAAGGGAUUUUAAGUGAAAUCAAUGUUUUAAUACCCUAAUUAUUCCAUCGAACAGAAAAAUAACUAGAGACAACACCUAAUGACCAAGUAUUUGCAAGGAUCCAUAUUUGAGGAAGGAAGACAAAUCACAAACAGUAUGAUUAUAUCUAUAUUUUGAUCACAAUGCAAAUAUAAUUCAUCAAGUAAAACUGUAAUCAAUGUAGAUCAGCGCAUAAGCGUUGAACUGAGAUGCGAAGACAGGAACUGAGCUUCAAAGGUCACAGAAAAGAUCAUUUGGCUUUUGAAGAAUCACAAGACUAUAAUUGGUGAGUGGUGACAAUUAGAUUUAUCCAUCUAUCUAAAUAUUAUGCCCUGUAAACAUUACUGAAUAAUGCUUACCAUCGACUGGAUGUGCCAGUAAGUUGUAGCCCAGGACAGGAGCUUCCUUUUGGAGCAUAGCAAUAUCUCCAGAACUGAUUAGAGGACAUGGUAAAGCAUGUUUCUUCAUCACCCUUUGGUAAAAUUCUCACCUUUCAUCAUAAAUGAGAUCUGUUUAUCAUAAUAAAAAUCUCAAAUUUAUGUAAGAAAGAGAACUCAUCAUCAUUCGAUAAACUGCUCACCAUUACAAUAUAUCUUUCUAGACCUAACACUACAUAUUGUGAUCAAGAUAAACCAAAUAAAGAGACUACAUAACUAAUUACCACGACAUGUAGUUUAUGACUAAAAUUCCUUAAGAAAUUUAGCCUGGCUGUGG
rnacentral:lncRNA from 1 species